ensembl:snRNA U6 U6 spliceosomal RNA
AUGCUCACUUUGGCAGCACAUAUACUGAACUCUGACCAUACAGAAAAGAUUAUCAUGGCCUCUGCGUAACAAUGGAAAGCAAAUUUAUAAAGUUUCCCAUAUAUAU